CCUACGGGUGGCAGCAGUGGGGAAUAUUGGACAAUGGGCGAAAGCCUGAUCCAGCCAUGCCGCGUGUGUGAAGAAGGCCUUCGGGUUGUAAAGCACUUUCAGUGGGGAAGAAAGCCUUGGGGCUAAUACCCUCGAGGAAGGACAUCACCCACAGAAGAAGCACCGGCUAACUCCGUGCCAGCAGCCGCGGUAAUACGGAGGGUGCGAGCGUUAAUCGGAAUUACUGGGCGUAAAGCGCGCGUAGGCGGUCUGAUAAGCCGGUUGUGAAAGCCCCGGGCUCAACCUGGGAACGGCAUCUGGAACUGUCAGGCUAGAGUGCAGGAGAGGAAGGUAGAAUUCCCGGUGUAGCGGUGAAAUGCGUAGAGAUCGGGAGGAAUACCAGUGGCGAAGGCGGCCUUCUGGACUGACACUGACGCUGAGGUGCGAAAGCGUGGGUAGCAAACAGGAUUAGAUACCCCAGUAAUC
rnacentral:rRNA from 1 species